CUUUUUUUCCCAAUUUCGUGAACCGAUUCGUGAAUCCCUAAUCCGUGAAUCCAUUGAAGAAUCCCUAAUUCAAAAUCCCUCGUUAAAGGGUUUCUGAAUCAUCAAAGGUUUUCCAGAACUAUCGGCUUUGUGGAUGCUGGAAUCAACUUUUCUUUGCAAGUUUUCAAGAAUGCUCAUCUUACUUAGUGGAGGCAGUAAGCAGUUGUUGAAUGCAAGUUAAUUUGGAACCGAAGCACUAUAUCAUCCGGGAUUUUGCAAAGACAACUCUUUCUCAAGAUGACUAAAAGAGGUGGAAAAGCUAAGGUAUUAGCACCAGGAAAACUUCAAGAAGAACGAAAUCGCAUAAUUAACAAGAAGCAUAUCGUUAGGAAACCUGCUCAAACAACAUUGUCUAUGCAGGAUGCAUCAUCGGCACCAACACCAGCUCAGGCAGCACCGUCCGUGCAGGUUGCAUCGUCGAUGCCGACAUCAGCUUCGAAAAAAUCAUCUGU